rnacentral:lncRNA from 1 species
GAAGAGGCUAUAAUUCAAACAAAUCUCUGCCAUAAUAGCUAUGGGAAUACUAAACAUUACUGGCCAAGUAAAUUGCUUUCUGUAUAAGUGUUCUCUUUUUUUUUUUGAAGUUUGCCCCAGUGUGAAAGUCUCUCUAAGAUUGGUAACUAAUGGGUAAUACACAACAUUCCAAGAUAGAUUCUGGUAUCUUGAGCCAACAUAUCAGGAGAAUGGUACAGAAAAACUGAACAUUACCAGCCCCUCUACCUUAGCUAACUGCAAAAUGAACAACUUCCAAGGACUUGCUGCUACUCUCCCACAAAAUGAAAAGUCUAUGUAUCAAGAUGUAGAAUAGUACAGCUAAGCACAAGGCUCCUCCCCAGUCAAAGAGGAGCAGAGAGUGAAGAUCACUAUCAGUAAAAGCGCUGGCCUAGAGUUCCAUCACUAAACUGAUAUGUAACCCAAGGCAGGUCUUCUUUCUUUGAGUUUCAGUCUCAUCAUCUUUGAAGUGAGAAUAACAGAGCAUAAAAGUCAAACUUGAACCAA